GCCUGGGUGGCUCAGUCAGUUGAGCAUCUGACUUUGGCUCAGGUCAUGAUCUCACAGCUCAUGAGUUCGAACCCCAUGUUGGGCU
rnacentral:tRNA from 1 species